GCGCAGCAGUCGCGAAAACUCCGCAAUGCGCGAAAGCGUGACGGGGUCACCCCGAGUGCCGUCCGCUGAGGAUGGCUUUUGCCCGGUUUAACCAGCCGGGUGAAUAAGGGGAGGGCAAGUCUGGUGUCAGCCGCCGCGGUAAUACCAGCUCCCCGAGUGGUUGGGACGAUUAUUGGGUCUAAAGCGUCCGUAGCCGGCCGGAAAAGUUCCCCGUUAAAUCUGACGAUCCAAUCGUCGGGCUGCGGGGAAUACUCUUCGGCUUGGGGGCGAGGGAGGUCGGCGGUAGUCUCGGGGUAGGGGCGAAAUCCUAUAAUCCCGGGAGGACCACCAGUGGCGAAGGCGUCCCACUGGAACGGCCCUGACGGUGAGGAACGAAACCUAGGGGAGCGAGCCGGAUUAGAUACCCGGGUAGUCC
rnacentral:rRNA from 1 species